GAGUUUGAUCUUGGCUCAGAUUGAACGCUGGCGGCAGGCUUAACACAUGCAAGUCGAGCGGGGAGAUUGCUUCGGUAAUUGACCUAGCGGCGGACGGGUGAGUAAUACUUAGGAAUCUGCCUAUUAAUGGGGACGAACAUCUCGAAAGGGAUGCUAAUACCGCAUACGCCCUACGGGGAAAGGACAGGGGAGUCACUUGUGACCUUGCGUUAAUUAGAUGAGCCUAAGU
rnacentral:rRNA from 1 species